GGUUUUCCUGCAAUUUGCUGGAGUCCUGUUUGGUUCCAAGCUGGCUCAUCAAAUUCUUUAUCUGAGAAGCUGAGGAAAAGAGUUUACAAUGCGCUGCACGCUGGCGCUG